rnacentral:rRNA from 1 species
UACGUAGGGACCGAGCGUUGUCCGGAUUCAUUGGGCGUAAAGAGCUCGUAGGCGGCCACUCAAGUCGAAUGUGAAACCUCGAGGCUUAACCUCGAGCCUGCAUUCGAUACUGGGCGGCUAGAGUCUGGUAGGGGGAUCUGGAAUUCCUGGUGUAGCGGUGAAAUGCGCAGAUAUCAGGAGGAACACCGGUGGCGAAGGCGGUCAUCUGGGCCAGUACUGACGCUGAGGAGCGAAAGCGUGGGUAGCGAACAGG